AUUUUGAAUACCGUGGAUUAUCUACUUUUACAAAUGGUAUGCCAUGAUGGGGUUAGUUUUCAUUCCUGGGCUGCUAUACGGUCUCAAAUGCAAAUGCCCAGCAAACCAAUCUGUCAGCUUUCAAUGUGCAAACAUGGAAAGGGGAAAGCCCUACAUUUGACUCCUGUAAGUUUGCAAAAACCCAUAAAACCUGUACAUUGGGGGCACUGUUG